UACAGAGGUCCCAAGCGUUGUUCGGAUUCAUUGGGCGUAAAGGGUGUGUAGGUGGCGCCGCAAGUCGGGUGUGAAAUCUCGGGGCUUAACUCCGAAACUGCAUUCGAUACUGCGGUGCUUGAGGACUGGAGAGGAGACUGGAAUUCAUGGUGUAGCAGUGAAAUGCGUAGAGAUCAUGAGGAAGACCAGUGGCGAAGGCGGGUCUCUGGACAGUUCCUGACGCUGAGGCACGAAGGCCAGGGGAGCAAACGGG
rnacentral:rRNA from 1 species